rnacentral:rRNA from 1 species
GACAGAGGGGGCAAGCGUUGCUCGGAAUCACUGGGCGUAAAGGGCGCGUAGGCGGGAUGGCAAGUCGGUCGUGAAAUCCUUCGGCUCAACCGAAGAACGUCGGCCGAUACUGCCGUUCUUGAGGGAUGCAGAGGAGAUUGGAAUUCCCGGUGUAGCGGUGAAAUGUGUAGAGAUCGGGAGGAACACCGGUGGCGAAGGCGGGUCUCUGGGCAUCUCCUGACGCUGAGGCGCGAAAGCGUGGGGAGCAAACGGGG